rnacentral:sRNA from 1 species
AGAGGACUUGUUAGAAAUGAACACUUGCGGUAUUUGUGGGACAGACAUUCACAUUAAGGGUACCACGAAGAUCUGGUUAACUUGUGCUAUAAGCUGCCCGCUCCUGUAACUAUGGAAGAGGGUGUUUCAGGAUCCAAAUUCUGGGUGCAGCACCAAUUGGAAUGGUUACGCUACUGGGCAACGGCUUCAGGAUGUGGCUAAGGCAGUUAAACACUAAACGUGGUGCUGAGCCCCAAGAAGUCACAACGAUUGCCGCGUCAUAUGAUGGGCGUGGGGCCUGACAAGUGAAUUGACUGCAUCGGAAUAGAGAGCUGCACCUACACCUGGAGGCUGACUUAAGCAUUGAUUUCCAAUUUUGCUAAUACCCUUAAACUGUGUUAAACCUGACAACAGAGCCUGACGGAGUCGUUGUCAUCAUUGUUUGCUCCCACUCUGACGCACAUCGACGUAAUGUAAAGCGCCUUGUCACACAUCAUUUUGAUCUUUGUGAGGCUGUAGAGGGGUUUAAAAGAUACCUUGCAAUCCGGGGUCGCCAACAAUUUCUGUAUAUUUCAGUCAAAUACCUUCUUCCAUUCAGUUUGAAUAAAAUUUUAAGAGCAUGUCUUUAUUUAAAAGCA